ACAGAGGUGCCGAGCGUUAGGCGGAAUCACUGGGCUUAAAGCGUGUGUAGGCGGAUUUGUAAGUACCUUGUGGAAUCCCACGGCUCAACCGUGGAACUGCUUGGUAUACUGCUUAUCUUGGGUCGUCUAGGGGCGAGCGGAACAAACGGUGGAGCGGUGAAAUGCGUAGAUAUCGUUUGGAACGCCAAUGGUGAAAACAGCUCGCUGGGGACGUACCGACGCUGAGACACGAAAGCCAGGGGAGCGAACGGGA
rnacentral:rRNA from 1 species